AAAAUUCCAAUUAAACUUUGGAUUACUGCAGCCAUUCUAGUUUCCAUCAAGCACAGACACAAGCUCAAUUUAAAGUCUAAUCAUAAACCCUUUAAUGAAGAAUUAUCCCGGAAAUACAGAAAGUUACUCAAUGAGAUUGAAAAGAAAGCUAAAAACUGUCAUGUUAAGUACUUCUAUACAUUGCCACCUCAGGCAGCACUGUAGCCUAGCUGUCCGGGGAUGUCGGACUUGGCAUCUCGCAAUACAGUUUGUCAGUUUGUCAUCACACCUGCAUCCGUUGAGUAUCUCGCGUCCAAUCCUCUCAUCCCCUCAGGGGAUGACCCUAACAUGGUAUCAGGUGUAGGGUCAAGUUUCUUUUCUCUCCGUCAAUAUUAGUCGCUAACACUACCCGUGCUAAGUGAUUGUGUGUAUGCAAAUGUACAAUUUACCGUCCGUUUUCGUCCCGAACUUUCUAACCUCAAACUUCCGCGAACUGUCAGGCCGAUGUCAAGCUGAUCAAGUCGUCCCUCGUGCUAAGAAGUUGAAAUCGUCAAUCCGUCAAAUUUUUUAGUCAAGUCCACGGGUCACGGAAAGCAUAGCGUCCGAAAUGGCCCUCACCAAUUUUGUCUUUCGUCAAAUACGUCCAGUCCAGGUCAAAACUGUCCUGUGUGUCCAGCUAAACGUCUCUGAUCUUGUCUUGUCUAGUCUUGUCGUCUGAUCAAACGCUUCUAGUCAAAUUAACAGUUUGAAAUUUGAGGUUAGGGUCCCCGGUCCCCCUCCCCUUGAUGAGCCAGAACUGCCAGAAGAGAAAGAGUAAGAGAAGACCAGAGGAGAAAAGCUGAGAGAAGACCGCGCUACAACUGGUCUAAUUGACGAAUAUUAUUCUCUUUAAAAAUAAAAACAAAUUCUGUUAGAAAAAGUAAGCAUUUUUGACAUUUUGUCGGCCGAAAGAAAUUUCAUUCGAUGAAAUUUCUUUUAGCAACUCUGACUCCCACUGACUCACAAUUUUUUAAAAAUCAAUUUUUUCAAAAAAAAAAAAAAAAAAAAAAGGGAACAUGUUAUGUUAAGUACUUCUAUACAUUGCCACCUGAGGCAGCACUGUCGCCUAGCUGUCCGGGGAUGUCGGACUUGGCAUCUCGCAAUACAGUUUGUCAUCACACCUGCA